ensembl:lncRNA
GUUAUUUCCACACUUGUCCUAUUGCACAAGAAAAAUCAGAUGAAAAGGAAAAAAAAAAUAAGAGAAAAAAAGCAACAACAACCAAAAAGAUGAAAAUACUAUGUUGUGAUCCACGUUCAGUGAGAUGGGGAUUUUUAUGAUCCGAUGGAUUCCAAACUGGUUGGAUGGUCAGACUCUAAGUGAGUUGGGAGCCACGAGUAUCUGAAAGACUAUCACGAGGUAGAGAAAUGAACCUUGUUCUGUCUGGACUUUAAGGGUUAAACUUGGAGCAUCGAGAGGAAGUUACAAAAAGACAGUUUUAGGACCAACUUCCUAACACUGAACAACUUCCUAUCCUGAAGGGCAGUGGACUACCUGAGGAGGCGGUGAAUCCCGAAGCAUUCUUGGAGGUCUUCAGAUAGAGGCAGGAUAACUACUUGUCAGGAAUGGUUCAAUCUGUAGCAGGAGGAAGGAUGAAAUGGUUAUAAUGGAAAGGCAAAACCCAUCGAUGAAAUAUACAAAAAUGGAAAGGGUCUGCUCAAGUCCUUUGGGCAGAGAAAGGACAGUUGGGUGGCAUAGUGAAUGGAAUACCUGGCCUAGAGUCAGAAAGACUGAGUUCAAAUGAAACCUCAGACACUGUGUGAUCCUGAUCAAGUCACUCCACCCUAUUGGCCUUAGUCUUGUCAUCUGUAAAAUACCAUUCCAGUAUCUCUGUCAAGAAAACCCCAAAGGGUCACAAAGAGUCGGACAAGAGUGAACCACAAUAUCCUUCUAGGAUCAAAAAUCAAAUCUUCUCUUAUCUGCCCCCCCUCCCACCUUUUCAUUCUUCUUAUUCCCUGUACAUACUCCGGUACAGUGACCCCAUUCUCCUGGUUAUUCCACAAACCAAACACUCCAGCGCUGGACUCCAAGCUCUGCCCGAAGCCUGGAACGCUAUAGCUCCCCAUUUCCUCCUCCUGGCUCCCUGUUGAAAUCUCACCUCCUCCAGGAAGCCUCUCCCAAUCCCCUUAACACUGGUGCCUUCCCUCUGCACUAGCACCAUGUGAGAUGUCUCCCUUAUUAGGGAGCGAGCUCUGGUGGGCAGGAACAGCCUUUAACUUUCUGCCUAUGGGAAACACUUAUUUUUAAGUGUUUCUUGGCUUGACAGGCUGACAGUUGCUUUCCAGGUUCCCAAUCAAUGGGGAAUCAUUUGUCUCUAGUCCUUUGCUACCCCCAAAUGGGCUGCCCACCCGUGCUGCCGUGCCCCUGGCUCUUGAAGGCUGAGCCAAAGGGAAAAGGCUCUGGCAGGUCCCAGCAAGCCGGAGAGACAGCUAGCGGCAGAUACAUCAUGUGCCUGGUGUCCUGGGACCAGCUCGGCUAGACCCCAAGAAGGGCUCAAGCCUGGGUGGCUGCUGGGCUGAGGAGCGACCCUCAGAGACCACCCAGGACAGGGGGACCCGGGUUCCCAGGCAUACGAAGGCAGACUCCAUCAAGAUGUUUCAGGGAACUUGUGAAACUGGGUAGGAAAAAUCACAUCUUUAUUUUCACUAACCAGGGGUCCUCAAACUUUUUAAAUAGGGGGCCAGUUCACUGUCCCUCAGACUGUUGGAGGGCCUGACUAUAGUAAAAACAAAAACUUUGUUUUGUGGGUCUUUAAAUAAAGAAACUUCAUAGCCCUGGGGGAGGGGGAUAAACGUCCUCAGCUGCUGCAUCUGGCCCACGGGCCGUAGUUUAAGGACCCCUGUUCUAGGCAAAUAGAGUAUAUUCUUUAAUAUAUUCUAUACUGUAUUCUAAACAUUAUAAAUUUAGCAUAUUCUUAUGGAUUUAGGCAACAAGAUACAGCAGGAUCAGCUGCAGCUGGGACAUCAUCCCAGAUGUUUUUACAUCACACGACAGAUUGUUUGAGAUAUUUCAAAAUAUUCUUUACAGUUAUCAUUGCUUUUAAAUUCAAUGUAGAUUAAAUAGUCAUUAAAUUUAGGUUAAAUAGUCGUUAAAUAGGGAAAAUAGUCAAUAGGCCCGUUAUCUUGCCUGCGUUUUAAAUGUCCACCUUCACCCAACUCUCACCGAGACUCCAAGAAGCUGGAGCAUGGUCAGCGGCCGCCCCCCUGGAAAACCAAUUGGGCAGAUGAGGGGAGCUGACGGGGCUGAAGCCUACUGGUGAGUUAGCGGGGCGUCUGCCUCAAGACUGUCCCUGGCAGAACGGAGCGAUGGUAUUAACAGUCUGCGCCAGUGGCCAUGAAGGCACACCGGGGCUUGGGGACUGAGCAGAAAUGGAAGGUGCUGAUUGAGGUCAUCUACGCAAAUCCCAGAUGGUCACCAGAUUUUUGUCUUGCUGCUGGACUUCAGAGACCGUGGGGGAGAAAGGGAAGCUGAUGAUUUUGUGUAACUGUCUCACUUAAAUCUAUCUAAUCCACACACGAGUCAGGACUACCCGUGGUAUCAUUGCUCCUCUUCAAAAAGGGCAGCUAGGUGGGGCAAUGGUUAGAGCGCCAGCCCUGAAGCUGAGUUCAAAUCUGACCUCAGAUGCUUAACAUGGUACUGGCUGUGUGACCCUGGGCAAGUCACUUGACUCCCAUUGCCUCAGCAAAAAAAAGAAAAAGUAAGGACAAACAUUUUAAAUGCCUUAAUAACUGCAAAUGUGACUUACAGAUUUUUAAAUUCUUAGGUAACGAUAUUUCUAUAGAAUCAAUUUCCUUUAUAAUUC